rnacentral:ncRNA from 2 species
AUAAAAUAUCUGGGGUGCCGAUUGGCUGAGAAAUACCCAUUGAACCUGAUGACGUUAGUACGUACGCAGGGAGAUAUGUUGCAUAAGCU